AAAUAGUUCUUCUAUAUUUGAAUCAGUGGAAGACCUCGUUUAUAUGUAAAGAUACUGCCCUCAGUCAUGUGGUUGUAGCCUCUGCUUUUUGUCACUAGUAACCUGUAUUCAAGUGUUCAUCUUGUUUAGGAAUGUUUUGAGAUUAAUGUGCGUAAAAGUCCUAUGUGAUUGGUUUUAAACAAUUGGGAUAAAAUUAAUUUUUAGUAGCAUAAGUUAAUGUGCUAAAUAGCAUACCAUUUUGUGUUAGAGAUACCAGAAUGUUGUUAUUCUACUGUCUGUGCAAUACAUGUUUUAAGCACAAAUUUGAGUAUACAUUUAAUCAUGGGGAUGUCAAAAACAUAAGCUCCUCUCUAAAAAACAUCGUUAGUUUCAGGUGUUGAAUAACAGACCAGUUUGACCAAGUACUGUUUCUACGGUUCAGUCUUAAACAUUCGCUUUAAGAAAAUAGUCUUGAAUUUCAUAUGCUGCUAUUUUUUAUGAUAUUUUGCCAUAUUACAGUACUGUUUUGUUUUGAAUU
rnacentral:lncRNA from 1 species